UAAUGAAAAUAACAAAAUAAAAGUUCUUGCAUUUUUAAAAUAACCUCAUUUAGGCUAUAAGUUAUUAGGGAAGAACGGUGCCAGCAACAAGUCUGUUAGCUUGUAAAUAGGAAAAGAUCAGUAGAAGACUCAAUAUCAUAAUAAUAAACAAGAUGGAUUUCUUCAGAGAUGCAUUCCGUCAAUACUCUCACCACCGUGCUCUGUGGCCUCUCAUAGGAUCAUGCAUGCUUGCAUCUUCAUUCACAACUUACAUCUUAAUUCGUUCAAGCAAGAAACAAGAAGUUGAAUGGAACAGAUACGCUGAUCGGUCAAACAAGGAAGCUAUAAUAGAAGACGCAAUAGCACGUCCAAUGCAAAGAGUUCAGGCCAUUUCUGUCAACACUAAGGCCUAUCAAACUCGACCACCUACUGUCCCACUUCUCCAGGUCAUUUAUGAAGAUGGAGAAUACAAUUACCCAAAGAACAGAUCAGCAUAAGGCGUAUAAGACAACGAUGUACGAUCAUAAGAAGAUGUUAAUGAAUGUUAUUAAAUUAUAAUUUUCCGAUGAAAAAUCAACAUUUUUAUUUAUUCUGACAGCAUAAAAUACCGAUAAUUUCGCAUUAAUUCAAUAUAACUUAUUCAGAAUAAAAAGGUUUCCAUUUUAUUUCAAGUAAAACAUUCAUCCACUGAUUAUUUUAUUCAACUUUCGACCAGAUUGGUUUAUUUUUAUUGACUUUUAUUCUCACUGUUCAUCAUCACUUUAGUUUGAUAAUAUGACAAUUAAACUGUAUUGAAUGCAUGAAA